GGCAGAUAGCUCAGUCGGUAGAGCAAUGGACUGAAAAUCCAUGUGUCGGCGGUUCAAUUCCGUCUCUGCCC
rnacentral:tRNA from 1 species